AGUGAACGCUGGCGGUAGGCCUAACACAUGCAAGUCGAACGGCAGCACAGUAAGAGCUUGCUCUUACGGGUGGCGAGUGGCGGACGGGUGAGGAAUACAUCGGAAUCUACUUUUUCGUGGGGGAUAACGUAGGGAAACUUACGCUAAUACCGCAUACGACCUACGGGUGAAAGCAGGGGAUCUUCGGACCUUGCGCGAUUGAAUGCGCCGAUGUCGGAUUAGCUAGUUGGCGGGGUAAAGGCCCACCAAGGCGACGAUCCGUAGCUGGUCUGAGAGGAUGAUCAGCCACACUGGAACUGAGACACGGUCCAGACGCCUACGGGAGGCAGCAGUGGGGAAUAGUGGACAAUGGGCGCAAGCCUGAUCCAGCCAUACCGCGUGGGUGAAGAAGGCCUUCGGGUUGUAAAGCCCUUUUGUUGGGAAAGAAAAGCAGCAGGUUAAUACCCCGCUGUUCUGACGGUACCCAAAGAAUAAGCACCGGCUAACUUCGUG
rnacentral:rRNA from 1 species